rnacentral:rRNA from 1 species
UACGUAGGUGGCAAGCGUUGUCCGGAUUUACUGGGCGUAAAGAGCGCGCAGGCGGUCGUUCAAGUCGCGUGUGAAAGCCCCCGGCUCAACUGGGGAGGGUCACUCGAUACUGAUCGACUUGAAGGCAGGAGAGGGAAGCGGAAUUCCCGGUGUAGUGGUGAAAUGCGUAGAUAUCGGGAGGAACACCAGUGGCGAAGGCGGCUUCCUGGCCUGUUCUUGACGCUGAGGCGCGAAAGCUAGGGGAGCAAACGGG